ensembl:lncRNA
GGCGGGGCUUAUCGGAAUACGGUGUGUGAAACAAAAAACCCGAGUGCUGUAGUCUCUAUUCGUAGAAAAUGUCAACAGUCAAAACUAACUAAUAAAGUACGGCUCGUUUUUUGUUUUAAAUCGAACUUUAGAUAAUCUGUUAGUUGUUUUAUUUUGAAUCUGCGUCUUUAAACCAGAUGUUCUGCCGAAAUGACAACAACAGUGUGGAUAAUCCUGGCCGUCACUCUGCUCUCUUAUCGGGUAAGUUAGCUAGCUAGCCACUGAAGCUAACGCGGAGGCUAAACUAGUUACUUUAUUUACGAGUGAAUAAGAACAGAGAGUAAUUUACUACAGUUCGCUUAGCGUAGAGUCACAUAUAAACAGAAAAUACAGUUCAGAGAGUUUUUAUUUGAUAUCUUUGUGAGUAAACAGUAAAUAUCAGGUGUUGAGGAACUGAAAGCACUGGGGAAUUCCAGCACAUUAUAGGCAUUAUACAGGCCUGGCAGGCUGAACUGGUCCCAUUUAACUGGGUCAUUUACACAACUAGACUGCCCAGUAGGAGUAGAGGAAAGAAACAUUCAGAUUGGACAAUCACUGCAGCUGGAUGAGAGCUCCAGCCUGACUAAUACAGCUGGAGUGAUUUAGACAUCAGUUCUGUUACAAACGACUUUUACACAGUGGGUGGACAGAUAGACAGGUAGGACUGACAGAUUACUGACGGCCCUAUAGGAAGGUGUUAAUGUUACAGCCCUAUAGGAAGGUGUUUCAUCCCUAUAGGAAGGUGUUACAGCUCUAUAGGUAGGGCAUUACAGCCCUAUAGGAAGGCGUUACAGCCCUACAGGAAGUGUUACAGCCCUACAGGAAGGUGUUACAGCCCUAUAGGAAGGUGUUUCAUCCCUAUAGGAAGGUGUUACAGCCCUAUAGGAAGGUGUUACAGCCCUAUAGGAAGGGCGUUACAGCCCUAUAGGAAGGCGUUACAGCCCUACAGGAAAGUGUUACAGCCCUAUAGGAAAGUGUUACAGCCCUAAGGAAGGUGUUACAGUCCUAAAGGAAAGUGUUACAUCCCUACAGGAAGGUGUUACAGCCCUACAGGAAAGUGUUACAUCCCUAUGGUAUUA